GGUUCUGUAAUUCAGUGGUAGAAUAACUCCUUGUCAGGGAGAAGGUCGCAGGUUCAAAUCCUGUCAGAAUCGCCA
rnacentral:tRNA from 1 species